GUGACGAUUGAUUGCCCAAUCAGAUAUGAGCACGUCACAUAUUUUGUCACCUGCCAGAGCACGUGACAUUUCUCUCUUCAAUCAACUGCCAGCCAGCCUCUCCUCCCAAUCAGGCUCUGUGAUUUUUCUCCCCCUUUCUCUCGAAACAAACGUUAAAAAAUAAAAAUCUAAAAAGGCCAAUGUCAUUGGAGGUUGCUGGUCUGCAAUAGACAGUCGAGUUAUAAUGUGUCGUCUUCAAACUUGGGAUGAAGAGGAUGAAGACCACUCCCUGAAUACUGGUAAUCAGCUGGAGCAUGAUGAGAUGAGGGUGGAAGUUCGGGUUGCCAUGCUGCGAGCACAAAUAGCAGGGAUUGAAGCUCGGGUGGAAAGACUAGAGGCAAGGAUGUUGUAUCUGCAAAGGGGAUUGCGUAUCAUUUCUGCCCUGUUUUUUGCUACACUUGUGUAUGCAUUGUUGAAAUGACACAAACGUAGCUAUUAUUACUGCCUAUAAUUUGAAAGAACAUGUCACAGAUUGCAUUGCUUGUUUCA